GGUAAUACAUAGGUCGCAAGCGUUAUCCGGAAUUAUUGGGCGUAAAGCGUCCGUAGGUUUUUUGUUAAGUUUAAGGUUAAAUACUGAAGCUCAACUUCAGCCCGCUUUAGAUACUGGCAAAAUAGAAUUAUGAAGAGGUUAGCGGAAUUCCUAGUGUAGCGGUGGAAUGCGUAGAUAUUAGGAAGAACACCAAUAGGCGAAGGCAGCUAACUGGUCAUACAUUGACACUAAGGGACGAAAGCGUGGGGAGCAAACAGGAUUAGAUACCCUGGUAGUCCACGCUGUAAACGAUGAUCAUUAGUUGGUGGUAUUAAAUCACUAACACAGCUAACGCGUUAAAUGAUCCGCCUGAGUAGUAUGCUCGCAAGAGUGAAACUUAAAGGAAUUGACGGGAACCCGCACAAGCGGUGGAGCAUGUGGUUUAAUUUGAAGAUACGCGUAGAACCUUACCCACUCUUGACAUCCUUGCAAAGCUAUAGAGAUAUAGUGGAGGUUAACAAGAUGACAGAUGGUGCAUGGUUGUCGUCAGCUCGUGUCGUGAGAUGUUAGGUUAAGUCCUGCAACGAGCGCAA
rnacentral:rRNA from 2 species